AUUUAGCUUGACUCUUAUGCAGUCAUUCAAAUAUUUGUGACAUGCUAUUUGUAAAAUGAACUUAAAUAUAUGAAUGAAGGAAUAAAUAAGUAAUACGUACAAAAAUAAACCCAUCUAACCCUCACAGUUCCAAAACCUAAUUUAUAAAUGCCAAGUCAUAUAAUAUUGUCAUGUUGUGACAGUAGUCCAUCUAGCCACAUGUAAUGUAAUUGUGGAUGUACAUAACAAAUAAUAAUAUAUUUACCUGAGAGUGUAAGUUGGCUUCAUGAUGAUGAAUGUCAGGAGACUGGCACAAGUUGGUCUGGUGAGGCAGCCAUCGUUAGUAGUCACUUCAUUAACACUCUAUACAAUAUACAUAUCAAAUCCGAAUGAUGGAUGACUGUUUUGUCAUUAUAUGACAUAUAACAUUAUAUGCUGUUCGAUUGUAAAUCUGUGAAAUAAAAAUAUUUAAAUUAAAAAACUGAUGUUGAUACAACUUUUACCUACCCACUCAACUAUUUCCUGUUCUUGGUUAUCCAAUUUGAAUCUCUUUGCUGCUCUUUGGCACUGAGUAUAAUGAACAUUGUUAUUUUCCUUGGUGGCCUCAUUGUUAUUGAAAUUGACCGGGAGCUGAAAGAUACCAAGUUACUGUUAGUAUCAUAAACUUAAUUGCAGCUUCAUGAAUCAAUUAAUAAUAAUAAAAAUCCCUAGUACUUGCAGUAGGCUAUGAAAUACUCAAAUAAAAAAUCAUGUGUUGCAUAACACAUAUGUGUUUCAGUAACCAUUACAAAUAGCCUACUGUCUAUUUACCAGUUUUUUCCUUCUCAUGUAUUCAGUUGUUCUAGGUAAUUCAGAAUCAUUGAAGCACACAUAGUCUUUGUAACCACCUCGGCGUGAAUUCUGCAAAAAAAGAAAUUGACAAAUAUGUUGAAAUCCUGGGUGCCACAGACAGACGUGCAAAUACAGCAUGCUGUAUGUAGCAGGAAUUCCAUGCAGAUUAAAGAAAAAUAAUAUAUAUAAUGUGUUGCAUGUCUGGCUACAAUCUUCAAACAGUGCUGGAAAAAAACAUUCAAAUAAAAUGUACCUCUUUAUUUGCACCCAGCUCCUUAAAGCGGCGACUUGUUGUUUUUGGAAUCUCAUUAUCUUGUGAGUCCAGGUAAGAUUUGUAUUUCUUCAUUAUUGUCACUUCAGCGCCAGAGGCAUUCCAACUGAUGUAAUGGCGACGGAAAUAAUAAUUAUUAAUUGUAUCAACAGUAGUUUAUACUUCUUCUGCAGUGAAUGCACUUUCGUGGUGCGUUCAGUUUGACCAAUAAGAGUCAAGCCUUACAAAUCAUCUUAACACUAACUGUCCAAUCAGAGACAGCCAAUUGAAAACGUACGUUUUGAGAGGUCAUUCCGGCUGGCCGAGCAACGGAGAAGAAAUGUCAGCAGGAGUCAUGUCGUUUCCAAACUAUGCUUUGUUUUAUUUCCCUGACUCUGAUAUCGUGAAAGUGGACAGAACCGAUAUAAUUUUAAGAGAGCACAGACUAUCAGAGUACGUGGUCAGUUCACGCGAGCAACUUAGAAGCGAAGAGGGCUACGUAGAGGUGCGCCUGUCAAGUCGCAGCCGAUAUGGACAGACCAAGACACUGCCAGCAAAAAUACUACUUCUUAGUGGUAAGCUUAUUAAUGUUAUCGAUUAGUAUAACUAGCUUUAAGAUCACUUUGGGUUUAGAAACAAUUUUCCCACGCAAACUUCAUUUCAAUGUUUGUUAGCUUUUAGCACAAUGUUAGCUACGUUGAUUACUGACGCAAUACCGACUUGCUAGCAUUAGGUCUAACGUUAGUAAUUUAGACACCGAUUGUUGAUGCUUACUCUAGAAAGCGACUUUUUCUGUUUGAUAAAACCGCUAUAAAACCUUGUUUGCAUGAAAAAUACUGCUUGCUUAUUAAUAAUCGGCCUUAAGCCUCGUUACAAUAAUAUAAUAUGUUAUUAGUGAAGUUACUAUAGGGGAAAAGUUGUUAUUUAUUACAAAUAUUUCAAAGUAUUUAAUCAUUUCAUUACUUCAACGCAACUCUCAUGAUGCUGGCGCAGUCGAUUCGCCUGGACUCGCCUUGUUGGAUGUAUGUGUGCAUGGACGUGAUCUGUUUCUCAGUUUAAAAUUUUGUUAUACUGUAUUAUAAUUUUGUUAUAUAACUUUUGUUUUUAAUGACAGAUGUUUACAAAGACUUAAUUGUGAAGAGAGAUGCUUUUAAGAGAGGAGAAGACAUCUGGAAGACAACCACACAGCAAGGGAAAAAAACAGCUGAGGCCUUAAAGAUUGUAAGUACUUCUCAAGGUGCAGCCUACGUUGCAAUGGGAAACAAACUCAAAAGAGACCUCCAGAACUUACAAAGAAAUACAGCAGCACCCAUAGCCUCCACUCCAAUGUCCGAUGAUUCAGAUAACACAGACAUUGACAUGUUUGAAAAGAACGAGCAGAGAAGAUCAAGGAAAAGAGCUGCACUGGACAGUGACAAUGAACAAUAUGAUAAUAAUGGAAGCAAGGAAUUUGAGAACAGUCAUUUGCAGAGCACAUCUCCGCAGAACACCGUCAAGCUUGAUGGUGAUGUUGUCAAAGCUUUAAAAGAGCUUCCUGGGAUAGUAUCAUCUCUCAAAGAUGUCUUAGAGUCCAUUAAAAGAGGCUGAUACGGCUCAAGUUCCAGUUCCAGUGAGAUGUCUCUUGCUGAUUCCUCAGAAAUGAUUUCCAUACAUUAGCUGAUUCUGAUGUGAAAGUCCCCAAGAGGAUGUAUGACAGACUGAAUAAGUCACGGCUUUCUCUUUUUGCACAAGAUUUGGCAACUCUAAUUUUUGGAAAAGACAAACUGGCAAGAUGUUCUCUUAUAGGGAAAUCAGGAAACAUCAAAAAACCAAUUGGACCCUCACAAGGUCACUGUUCUUAUUGACACUGUGAUUAAACAGUUCCCGAACACAACAGUGUCUGGGGUGCAAGCACUUAUUCGCAGGAAAUGCAACAACGAGUCAAACUCAAAGAACAGUCACUCUCCACUGGAAGGAUGAAGACAGUGAUGUUUAAGAUGCUACAGUUCUUGGUUAACUGUUUGGCUUUUGCCAGUUUGUUAAAAAAAUGCAAUUUAUUGACUUCUGUAGUUCUUUAUUUGAUUCAGCUGUUUGCAGCUUGUUAAA